AGCACGUAGGUGGGUUUGUAAGUCAGACGUGAAAGCCUUCUGUUCAACGGAAGAAUUGCAUCUGAAACUACAAACCUUGAGUGUAGGAGGGGAGAAUGGAACUUCUGGUGGAGCGGUGAAAUGCGUAGAUAUCAGAAGGAACGCCGGCGGCGAAAGCGAUUCUCUGGCCUAUUACUGACACUUAGUGUGCGAAAGCUAGGGGAGCAAACGGGAUUAGAUGCCCCGGUAGCCCUAGCCGUAAACGAUGGGCACUAAGUAGAGGGG
rnacentral:rRNA from 1 species